rnacentral:ncRNA from 2 species
UUUUAACACUAGGGGAGCCAUUUGGCUGAGACGACUAUUCGGACCCUUUGAACCUGAUCUGGUUUGUACCAGCGUAGGGAAGUGGUGAAGCAGAUCU